rnacentral:tRNA from 1 species
GUCACUUUGCCGGAGUGGUUAACGGGAUCGCCUGCUAUCAAGCUUAGAGCGGUUGGGCUUUGCCCGCGAGUGUUCGAAUCGCUCAGGUGACG